rnacentral:misc_RNA from 1 species
UCAUUCACCAUUCCACCUAAUUCUAAUUUCAUCUUGAUACCGUCUAUAAUCACGAUCCCUAAAAAAAUAAUAAAAAAGGAUAUUAGUAAUAAAAAAUGACAGUUGUAAGAAAUCAAAUACACGGAAGGAGGUAACCCGGUGGCACUCUCGGAACUCAAGAGAUUUAUCUAUUCGAUAGAGAGACGAGGCAAGGCACAAGAAAGAAGAAUAUCUGAGCUCUUGCUUUAUUUGCAGAGUACAGGGAAACACAUCUGAGAGAAUAUUCUGGGCUGACAUAGAUAUAUAUAUAUAUAUGAUAAUUGAAGAGAAGAAAUAUGCAAGAAAAUCUGUUUGUGGAUUCCUUUCGUAAUUGAACUCAAUGUUUUAAGACUAUGCCACGCUUCAGACUCUUAUCAAUGGGUACUGGAAGACGAGGAAGAUUUAAGAGGUUUCUUAAGUUAGUGGUAUCAGUAGUGACAGUUCUUCUGUUCUUGUCCUGUGUUGCAUUUCCUAUCCUUGUUCAUUACUCCCCGGGACUGCAACGGUACUUAAUCUUCCGCCACACAUCUCUGCCUGGCCUUUUGUUCUUCUCAAGAACAGAGGAUCUGAGCAAACCAGAGAAUUACAACUUGCUAGGAACUCGCAACUUUUAUCUUCAAACAGAGGAUGACAUAUCAGUAGGAAUAUGGCAUAUCUUGCCCGAGUCUUUGAUGUUUUCGGCACCAGACGGCAAGUCCGAGGAAAGAACGAGAUGGUUUGAGGAAAGUUUAACGAAGGGUAAGCCCAUAUUCUUAUACCUGCAUGGGAACCGCUUUUCAAGAGGUGCUUACUAUCGUGUGGAGCUGUACCGUCUUCUACGAAGCCAGGAUUACCACGUUAUCGCCAUGGACUAUAGAGGUUUUGCUGACUCAACUGCAGUAGCUCCCAGUGAGAAAGGUUUAGUCACAGAUGUAAAAGUUGUGUACAAUUAUAUCAAGAAAAAGGCAGGGAAAACACCAGUAUUUUUUUACGGCCACUCUCUUGGUACCGGGGUCGCAUGUCAUGCUGUAGCAGACCUGUGUCAGGAAAGACGGUGCCCGCAAGGUCUCAUUCUUCAGAGUCCCUUCAAUAACCUCUUCAGUGAGAUCAGAGUCCAUAGCUUUGGCAAGCUGCUGACUUUCUUGCCAUACUUCAACUGGAGCAUCUUGGAGCCACUUCGAAAGAGCGGUGUUGUGUUUGAUAACGAGAAGCACAUCGCCAACAUUCCCAUACCUAUCUGGAUCCUCCAUGCGCAGGACGAUGGCGUUGUUCCGAUUACGCUGGGGCUUGAGCUCUAUUCAGCAGCUAUGAGAUCAAGAUCAAAGAAGGCACCGGAAGUCAGAUUUUUUGACUUUGAAGACCAUUACGGAUACGGACAUAACUAUAUUCACAAGUCUGAUGAUCUACCAAUGAUCCUCAGAGAAUUUGUCAAAGCCGCAAGAUAUAGGAAGUAACCAAGAUAUGUGUAAAUAUGCUGUACAGAAGAGAAAAUAAUGCACAGAACACCGACGCCAAAAAAGAGAAUGGAAUCGCCCAGCAAACAAAAGCACAGAACCAAAAAAUACGAAAAAACGAAAUACCCGAUUCCAACCAGACGCAAAACGGAGUCGAUCCUCCGCCAAAAGCUGCUGGGAAUCAUCUGUGACUACAAGUACCUAGACAUGAAGAACUCCGCUAGGUUCACAGACUACACCCAGAUACAGAAUACAGCACCGCAUCACAGGCACAUCAACGAAAACUUGGAAUUCCUGUUGGGUCGCAAAUUGUAUGGACUUGGCUGGCGGGACGUUAAGCUUGGGAUGGCUAAGGAGGUCAUGGCAGGCACGGUUACUAAUCCUGAGGAACCUCGUGAUGCCUUCAGGAGGAGAGUCACGAAGUCGGCUUUCUUCGCAGAGGCAGAGGGACUUCAGGGCAGUAAGGUUGCCGAGUGUCCUCUGCUGAAGGUGUGCAAACCAUGUACUGUGGUGUUGCAUCCUCUCAACUUCCAGGCUCUCUUUCCUGCAGUUCCUUCACGUAGAGAUUGCUGAAGGUAUCAUGCUGAUUCCCUGAGGUUAGUUAAAUCUGCAACCUUCAUCUGUUUUAUUCUACUGUUUUGCCUCCACAUUAAUAUAGUUAUUAUUUGUUUAUAAUUACGUCCUGGCUGGUGGAGACUGCCUAUGGG